AACUCAAAUAGGUUCAGUUGGCAAAUCAUGCUAUCAAUUAGAGAUAUAAUUUUUUAAAAUCAAAUAAAUGGAAAUUCUAGAUUGUCCCUCUAUAUAAUUUAGAGUUGAUUCACCUACCCUACCCUUCUCUUCCGGUUUAGUUCCUUGGUCUUGCAUCAAUUCCAACUAAGUCAUACGAGGUCCUAAUCCAGAAAACAUGGUGAGUGAAGCACCAAGUUGGGCAGAUCAAUGGGGUGUUGGUGCUAUUGAAUAUGAUGACAUUGACACUAGAUCCCAAAAACACACUACCGGCAAGAACAAGAAUUCAGGUGCCAAGGUUGGUUUCACCAAAGCCAAAGCAGUUGCUACAAUAGGUCUUCAAAAGAUUAAAAGUGGGGCCUCAACUUGUGUCAAAUGGAUCACAAACCACUUUAAGAGAAAGAAAAAGAGGACAUCCAUAUAAUUUGAUGGAUCCAACUUGCAUGGAAUUUUAACUUUUCUUAUUCUACCAAUAACACAAUUGCAAUACCCCCAUUUUUUGUUUUUCCUUCCAUAUUAGCAUUAUUUUGAUUACUACAAUGAAGUUGAUUAUCCCUAAUUUUCUUGUAAUGAUGAUUAAUCCAUGUCACAUGUCAUUUAUUAAUGGGUUAUUUUACGGUAACUUUCAAAUCACCGAAGCA